CUCCACCUCAUUGUGUGAUUGUGAAAAUCUAGUUGUGUAUCACAUGUGACAACUUGAUGGCAAAUAUUUCGGUAUCACACACAUGAAGAUCGUAGCCACGCACACAUGAGGUUCUGGAGGUUAGAAGCUGAAAUGGGCUGAUAUCAAGAUCUCAGCACAACCAUGCUACCUUUGAAACCACUAGCAGGAGUGUCCAAUCUUUUGGCUUCCCUGGACCACAUUAGAAGAAGAAUUGUUUUGGGCCACAUAUAAGAUACACUAACACCAAUGAUAGCUGAUGAACUAAAAAAAAAAAAAAAAUUCGAAACAUUCUUAUAAUGUUUUAAGAAAAUGUAUGGGUCAGGUGCGGUGGCUGAUGCCUGUAAUCUCAGCACUUUGGGAGGCUGAGGUGGGCAGAUCACCUGAUGUCAGGAGUUUGAGACCAGCCUGGUCAACAUGGUGAAAUGUCAUCUCUACUAAAAAUACAAAAAUUAGCUGGGUGUGGUGGUGGGUGCCUUCAAUCCCAGUUACUCAGGAGGCUGAGACAGGAAAAUUGCUUGAAUUGGGGAUGUAGAUUGCAGUGAGGCGAGAGAUUGAGUCACUGCACUCUAGCCUGGGUGACAAGAGUGAAACUCUGUCUCAAAAAAAAAAAAGAAAAAGAAAAAGAAAGAAAGAACAAAAAGUAAAAAAAAAAAAAAAGGAAAGCUUAUGAAUUUGUGUUGGCCCUCAUUCAAAGCUGUUCUGGGCUCCAUGUGGCCCACGGGCUGGGGUUAGACAAUUUUGCUCUAGGAGGAGAACCCAUUUCCUUGCCUGUUCCAGCUUCUUAUGGCUGUCUCUGCCUCUUUGUUCAUGGCCCCUUCCUCCAUAUUCAAAAUCAGCAGUUUAGCAUCUUCAAAUCUCUAAUUAUGAGCUCCUGGUUUUGAUUUUGUUUUGUUUUUGUUUGUUUGUUUUUGAGACAGAGUUUUGCUCUUGAUGCCCAGGAUGGAGUGUAAUGGCAUGAUCUUGGCUCACUGCAACCUCUGCCUCCUUGGUUCAAGUGAUUCUCCUCCCUCAGCCUCCCAAGUAGCUGAGAUUACAGGCAUGCACCAGCACACCCAGAUAAUUUUUUUUUUAAUAGAGAUGGGGUUUCUCCAUGUUGGCCAGGCUGGUCUUGAACUCCUGACAUCAGUGGAUCCACCCACCUCAGCCUCCCAAAGUGCUGGGAUUACAGGCUUGAGCCACUGUGCCCCGCCUCCCCUUUUUUUCUUAUAAGGACCCUUUGAUUACAUUCAGCCCACUCAGAUAAUCCAGGAGAAUUUUCCCAUCUCAGUAUAUUUACCUCAACCACAUGUGCAAAGUACCUCUUGUUAAGUAAAGUAACAUUCACAGGUUCUAGGGAUUAGGGCAUGAACAUCUUUUGGGACCACCGGAGUCAAAUGUUAAAGUAAUUAAGAGUUGUUAUAGGCUAAAGUGCUUAACUCCCUGAUGUGGUUUGGAUUUGUGUCCCCACCCAAAUCUCAUGUUGAAUUGUAAACCCCAGUGUUGGAGGUGGGGCCAGCUGGGAGGUGAUUGGAUGAAGCAGGUGGAUUCUCUCCUUGCUAUUUUGUGAUAGUGAGGGAGUUCUCAGAAUACCUAGUUGUUUAAAAGCGUGUAGCAGCUCCACCUUCAUUCUCUUCCUCCAGCUCCGGCGGUGUAAGAUGUGCCUUGCUUCCUCUUCACCUUCUUCCAUGAUUGUAAGUUUUCUGAGGCCUCCCCAGCCACUCUUCCUAUACAGCCUGCAGAACUGUGAGCCAAUUAAAC
rnacentral:lncRNA from 10 species